rnacentral:lncRNA from 10 species
AGUCAAUAAAUAUGUGUAUAAAAAUAGAUAUUUUAAAAACUAUCAUAAAAUAAAUAAAUGAAUGGUAUUUGUUGACCAAAAACACACCCUAGUUGAAGACACACGCAUUAAACUAAUAAUCACAAAAUAGGUACGUAUUUAUUAUAGCAGCAGUGUGCUGCUACUAGAAAAUACUCUAGGUUGAGAAUCAUAUACUUUUACUUUAGAGAUAAUGUAAUGUGAUGAUAUACACCAGAUUGUAAAUAAAAUUUGAGAAGAUUAUGCUAUCAAUUUUGAAUUUGUAUUUAUGAGGAAGAUGAUAGUAAAUUAUAGC